rnacentral:tmRNA from 1 species
GGGGCUGAUUUAGGAUUCGACGGGAUUCACGAAACCCAAGGUGCAUGCCGAGGUGCGGCUGGCCUCGUAAAAAGCCGCAAAGUUAUAGUUGCAAACGACGAUAACUACGCUCUAGCAGCUUAGGCUAGCUAGCCUUCCUCCCACGUCUCUUCUAUGGGCAGGGUUCAGGAAGGUCAUCAACAUAGAAUAGCGAGGGAAACUUGUCUGAGGUUGAACCGCGAAACAGUAUCAGGCUCGCCAUCUUAAAUCCUGUUAGUCGGAGUUAAGCUGGUUAACCAAAAGACUAACUAAGCAUGUAGUACCUAGGAUGUAGGCUUUUCGGACGGGGGUUCAAAUCCCCCCAGCUCCACCA